GCUUAGUGUCAACUCCCUAAGAUAGCGCGUGACUUCAUCCUCCGUUUACCGACUCUGAUUUUCCACGUUCAGAGUAUUUACGAUAUUGCCACCGCUCUCUUUUCCUUCUCGCUGUUCUGUUGUCUUCCGAUACAAUUUCUUCUUCCAUUUCCUUCUCUCGUUAUCUUCUUUUAUCUCUCCUUUUCUCCGUUGACAUGUCUACUGCCGGCGGCGACGGUACCUCCGGCGAGCCUCGCCAAUACUUCUGUCACCAGUGCAAUCGCACCGUUUCUGUUACCCCUUCCCCGUCCUCUGAUCUUCUCUGCCCCAAUUGCAACGGCGGCUUCCUCGAAGAACUCGAAAUCCCUAACCCUAACCCUAUCCCUAUCCCGUCCAAUCCUUUCUUCCCCGACUUCCCCCUCGCUGGGACCACCGCCAUUCCUCUCAUCUUCCCUGGAGGAGCUGGCCAGCCCUUCGACGAUUUCUCCACCCUCUCCGGCACUCGAUCUGACGCCGCCACCGCCGAUACUGCCCUCGCCCCCUUUGUCCUCCUCCAGAACUACUUGCAAACCCUAAGAGCCGCUGGCGGCGGUGGAAACCUUCAACUGGUGAUUGAGUCCGGCGACCCCGGCGGAGCGUUUCGGUUUCCUGGCAUCACCCACGGUGACUACUUCUUCGGGACGGGCCUUGAGGAGCUGAUCCAGCACCUUGCCGAGAACGAUCCGAACCGCUAUGGCACCCCACCGGCUUCUAAGAAGGCGGUGGAGGGGCUGCCGGACGUCUCGGUCACCGACGAGCUGCUUGCGUCGGAUUCCUCGCAAUGUGCAGUGUGCAAAGACACGUUCGAACUCGGUGAAACCGCGAAGCAGAUGCCCUGUAAGCAUAUAUAUCACGCGGACUGCAUUUUACCUUGGUUAGAAUUGCAUAAUUCCUGUCCCGUUUGUCGGUAUGAGCUGCCCACAGAUGAUCCUGAUUACGAGCAGAGGGCUCAUCGUGGUAGCGGUGGCGGUAGUGGAGGCGGUAGUGGUGGUACCGGCAGUGGGGUGGCUCCCCAGGUGAAUUGGAACCUGGCUGUGGGGCCUGGUGGUUCUGCGGAUACAUCUGGUGGAGGAGACAAUUCCCAGCGGAGGAGGUUUAGGGUGGCUUUGCCGUGGCCCUUCAGGCAAUCUGUUUCUUCUGGUGCUGAGACAAGUAAUGUUGGCGGUGCCAACAAUGAUGACAACAGUAUAAAUGGUGGGGAAACCAAUAGUGGGCAAUCAAAUUCUGAAAACAGGGGAAAUCGGAACUUUGAGUCGGAGACCAGACAGGAAGAUCUAGAUUGAGAGGCACUCGUGUUUGAUAUGGUUUAAAAUAGAGUGGUGUGGAGUUGCCCCUAUCCGCCACCAUAGGAACUGCUGUAGCAUAGCAGUUUAGUGUGGCAGUCAUGGCAGGCCUCAGCAGGUGUGCUGCUAAGAUGACACUGACUGCAAAAAACUUUCUGCACUGCCUGAUCUUGAUGGCAUACUUGAUGCCCUAUAGUGAAUUUGAAUUGGAUUAGACCAAGCCCUUUUAAUUGGGCAGGUAGUUAUAUUUGAUGACAGUUGUAUAGGGUUCUUUAAAACUAAACUUCAUUCAUCAUUUAAGGUCAUGGCUUCAUAUGCUUCUGGUUUUCUAUUUUCAAUUCUAUAGAUUUCAACAAAAUGAAUAUUGUCCAUAUAUUCAUUGACUUGUUGAAUUCAUGGUAUCUUACCAACAUCCUCUUGUUCUUGGUUGGAAGAUUUAAACUCUCAAAUUUAUGUGUUUUUUGUUGAAAUUAUGGUUAUUGUAUUUUUGUACAGUUUUCUCAUAGAGCUUUUUUUGGGUGUAUGUACCUAUCUUAAGGAUUGAGUGUCACAUGCUAUAACUAUUCCUUGUAUUGUCUACCCUUCUCUUAUCUAUUAUAUAUGAAAUACAUCAGCUCAGCACAAUAACUUGCUGAUUUUUAUCA